GAGAACUCUCAGGAAACUUCCUCUCUUCCCACCAAAAAUAAUUAUAUAGUUAUCCUUUGGCGAUCUUGGAUCUUAAUUAGUACACUCACGUUCCCUGUGGAAAAUCGAUACUCUGGAAUACUCCCGUGUGAAAGCUACAUCGGUAUCCGUGCGCUUGCGGAUUUUUCUGUUUGCGUUUAAAAUACCCAACAGUCUUCCCAAGGACCAGCUGGCAUGGAUGCCUUACGAAGAUCGAGAAACCAGAUUCCCAC
rnacentral:lncRNA from 1 species